UCUUGUAGCUACGGAGUUUUUCGGCUUUCAGUCACGGGAAAAAGCGUUGAUAAUUUUAUAAAAUUAUCAUCGCUUUUUCCCGUGACUGAAAGCCGAAAAACUCCGUAGCUAUCAAAA
rnacentral:pre_miRNA from 14 species